rnacentral:tRNA from 1 species
GGGCGGAUGGUUUAGUGGUAUAAUUUUCCCUUAGCAUAAUGCAACCUUCGAGUAGCAUUUCCGCAUGGGAAAGGUCCGGGGUUCGAUUCCCCGUUCGUCCA